GGGAGGAGGAGGAGGAGGAAGAAGAAGGUGUGGCUGGAGCCUGGCAGACGACAAAAAGUGAAGUGAAAAAGAUUGCACGUCUUGGAAAAUGAAGGGUAAAUGGUGCUUAACGCAACGGCUGUCCAAGGAAAGCCGUGUGACAUGGCAGACUCAGGAGGUCUCCUCAAAGACCUGAGUUACCUUUGAGAACAGGGCUGAGUUCCAGAACUUGCUUCAAAUGUUGAAGAUCAUGCCUUGAGUUUUAGAAUUUCUAGACAACCUGGCUACAGCUGUGUCUGCAUCUGAAGAUUGCUAAAAGUUCAUCUUUUUUUUACACGUGGGUUCAAGCACGCUAUGGCCAGUGAAAGUGCACACGGUGCUGCUUGAGGUUCUGAAUGUUUGUGGCAACCUGUGUACACAGAUGUCAGUUUAAAAAAGAAAUUACAGUUCUGCUCCAAGUGUCCUUUCUGCUUUUGCUGUGUUCCUGUUGAAUUGCCUUAAGAGUUGUAAUCUUCUCCCGGCUCAUACGCUGUUUUCACAGCCAAAUCCUAAAGCAUUGCUCUUUCACUCCUUGUUUUCUCUACCUGGUUAAGAAGGAUUUAAAAAAAAAAACCCCACACUAAAUAAAGAUGCCGCCUACAAUA